rnacentral:rRNA from 1 species
UACGAUGAGUAAAGUGGCGCACGGGUCAGUAACACGUGGAUAAUCUACCUUCGGGCGAGGGACAACCGGUCGAAAGACUGGCUAAUACCUCGUAAGACCACAGGGCUUUCGGGCCUCGGGGUAAAAGGUGGCCUCUAUUUAUAAGCUAUCGCCUGAAGAUGAGUCCGCGCACCAUUAGCUUGUUGGCGGGGUAACGGCCCACCAAGGCUGAGAUGGUUAGCUGGUCUGAGAGGACGACCAGCGACACUGGAACUGGAACACGGUCCAGACUCCUACGGGAGGCAGCAGUGGGGAAUAUUGGACAAUGGGCGAAAGCCUGAUCCAGCAACGCCGCGUGAGUGAUGAAGGCCUUCGGGUCGUAAAGCUCUGUCAGAAGGAACGAAUAAGGACGCUCUAACACAGCGUCCGAUGACGGUACUUUCAAAGGAAGCACCGGCUAACUCUGUGCCAGCAGCCGCGGUAAGACAGAGGGUGCAAGCGUUGUUCGGAAUCACUGGGCGUAAAGCGUAUGUAGGCGGCGGGAUGUGUCCGAUGUGAAAUCCCUCGGCUCAACUGAGGAAGUGCAUCGGAAACUAUUCUGCUCGAGUGCGAGAGAGGGUGGCGGAAUUCCCAGAGUAGAGGUGAAAUUCGUAGAUACUGGGAGGAACACCUGAGGCGAAGGCGGCCACCUGGCUCGUAACUGACGCUGAGAUACGAAAGCGUGGGUAGCAAACAGGAUUAGAUACCCUGGUAGUCCACGCCGUAAACGAUGUUCACUAGAUGUCGGGAGAAUUGACCCUUUCGGUGUCGUAGCUAACGCGAUAAGUGAACCGCCUGGGGAGUACGGUCGCAAGACUAAAACUCAAAGGAAUUGACGGGGGCCCGCACAAGCGGUGGAGUAUGUGGUUCAAUUCGACGCAACGCGAAGAACCUUACCUGGGUUAGAAACCAACUGGACGAA